rnacentral:rRNA from 1 species
UACGUAGGGUGCAAGCGUUAAUCGGAAUUACUGGGCGUAAAGCGUGCGCAGGCGGUUUGGUAAGACAGAUGUGAAAUCCCCGGGCUUAACCUGGGAAUUGCAUUUGUGACUGCCCGGCUAGAGUGUGUCAGAGGGGGGUAGAAUCCCACGUGUAGCAGUGAAAUGCGUAGAGAUGUGGAGGAAUACCGAUGGCGAAGGCAGCCCCCUGGGAUAACACUGACGCUCAUGCACGAAAGCGUGGGGAGCAAACAGG